UUCGAAAGAAAGAUUAAUACCUGAUGGGUAUGAUGAGAUGCAUGAUAGCAUCAUUAAAGAUUUAUCGGUGUACGAUGGGGAUGCGUUCCAUUAGGUAGUAGGCGGGGUAACGGCCCACCUAGCCAACGAUGGAUAGGGGUUCUGAGAGGAAGGUCCCCCACAUUGGAACUGAGACACGGUCCAAACUCCUACGGGAGGCAGCAGUGAGGAAUAUUGGUCAAUGGACGAGAGUCUGAACCAGCCAAGUAGCGUGAAGGAUGAAGGUCCUACGGAUUGUAAACUUCUUUUAUAAGGGAAUAAACCCUCCCACGUGUGGGAGCUUGUAUGUACCUUAUGAAUAAGCAUCGGCUAACUCCGUGCCAGCAGCCGCGGUAAUACGGAGGAUGCGAGCGUUAUCCGGAUUUAUUGGGUUUAAAGGGAGCGCAGACGGGUCGUUAAGUCAGCUGUGAAAGUUUGGGGCUCAACCUUAAAAUUGCAGUUGAUACUGGCGUCCUUGAGUGCGGUUGAGGUGUGCGGAAUUCGUGGUGUAGCGGUGAAAUGCUUGGAUAUCACGAAGAACUCCGAUUGCGAAGGCAGCACACUAAUCCGUAACUGACGUUCAUGCUCGAAAGUGUGGGUAUCAAA
rnacentral:rRNA from 1 species